rnacentral:rRNA from 1 species
AGGACGAACGCUGGCGGCGUGCUUAACACAUGCAAGUCGAGCGGUAAGGCCUUUCGGGGUACACGAGCGGCGAACGGGUGAGUAACACGUGGGUGAUCUGCCCUGCACUCUGGGAUAAGCCUGGGAAACUGGGUCUAAUACCGGAUAUGACCUGCUCUCGCAUGGGGGUGGGUGGAAAGAUUUAUCGGUGCAGGAUGGGCCCGCGGCCUAUCAGCUUGUUGGUGGGUAACGCCUACCAAGGCGACGACGGGUAGCCGACCUGAGAGGGUGACCGGCCACGACUGGGACUGAGACACGGCCCAGACUCCUACGGGAGGCAGCAGUGGGAAUAUGCACAAUGGGCAAAGCCUGAUGCAGCGACGCCGCGUGAGGAUGAAGGCCUUCGGGUUGUAAACCUCUUUCAGCAGGACGAAGCGCAAGUGACGGUACCUGCAGAGAGCACGGCUAACUACGUGCCAGCAGCCGC